CCUACGGGUGGCAGCAGUGAGGAAUAUUGGUCAAUGGACGAGAGUCUGAACCAGCCAAGUAGCGUGAAGGAUGACUGCCCUAUGGGUUGUAAACUUCUUUUAUAUGGGAAUAAAAUGUUCCACGUGUGGGAUUUUGUAUGUACCAUAUGAAUAAGGAUCGGCUAACUCCGUGCCAGCAGCCGCGGUACUACGGAGGAUCCGAGCGUUAUCCGGAUUUAUUGGGUUUAAAGGGAGCGUAGGUGGAUUGUUAAGUCAGUUGUGAAAGUUUGCGGCGCAACCGUAAAAUUGCAGUUGAAACUGGCAGUCUUGAGUACAGUAGAGGUGGGCGGAAUUCGUGGUGUAGCGGUGAAAUGCUUAGAUAUCACGAAGAACUCCGAUUGCGAAGGCAGUUCACUGGACUGCAACUGACACUGAGGCUCGAAAGUGUGGGUAUCAAACAGGAUUAGAUACCCGGGUAGUC
rnacentral:rRNA from 1 species